CCGACGGAGGUGUAGUCCGGCCAAUCAUUUUGGCCUUUCGAGCCGAAGACCUGGGUUCAAAUCCCAGACGGUGCA
rfam:Salinarchaeum sp. Harcht-Bsk1, complete genome.